rnacentral:lncRNA from 1 species
AUAGACCUUUUUUAUUGCUCAAUUAUUGAAACACAAUGUCUUUGGGAAAUAUUAAACUAUAGCUACUCACUAAUACACUAAUUAGUACUACUUAAAGUUGCCGAGUAUGAAUGGGGGCAAGGGACCUUUUUUUCGAAAAGGGGGGGAUCCCCGGCCUCUGCAUCAGCAUGAUGCAUACGGCCAUCUUAUUAACAAUAAAUCAUCCACAAGGUCUCGAAAUCUCAAAAGUAGCAAAAUAAAAUGAAGAAGAAAGGCUCACACAGAGCCCAAAGGCUAGAUACACAAGCUAGCCAAAUAAAGGAUAAACCACAACCGGUUGGCUCAAAAAUAGACAGGUAAACUAAUUGCCUAUCCUAUUACAUGACCGCCAUCCAAACCGGCUUAAGAUAUCCCGAGCUACCGUCUCCCAUCGGAUAGCACCAGUAACCAAAAGCUCCCUGGCCUCCGUCGGAGUGAGUAGCGACCAAGAACGGAUAAGUGCCGUAGCUCUGAAGAUAACCUGCAAAACAUGAAUGUUUGUUGUUCUGUUAAAGACAAGAUCAUUUCUGCAAUUCCAAAGCGCCCAUACUAAGGCGCACACCCCCAAGCGAAUAUGUUUUGCUAACCCGGGCUCUACCCUGUUGAGCCAUGUUCCAAACAACAUGUUAACCGAGCUUGGUGGAUGAAUAUUGAAAGCAACAUGAACAGUUGUCCAAAGAAUUCUAGCUAGUGGGCAAUCAAAGAAUAAAUGAUUAAUGGUUUCACCCUGAUCACAGAAGCUACACCUAGUAGGUCCUGUCCAAUUGCGCUUUGUUAAAUUGUCCUUUGUUAAGAUAACUUGUUUGUGUAGAAACCACAUAAACACCUUGAUCUUUAAAGGAACUUUGACAUCCCACACAUGCUUGGAAGAAGGAAUCGAGCUCGAAUUAAUAACAUCAACAUACAUUGAUUUAACUGUGAAUUCACCCGACCUAGUGAGAUUCCAGCGCAGUUUAUCAGGUUGUUGUGAAAGUUGGACUUGCAUCAGUCUCCUAACUAGAUGUAGCCAAUGUUCCCAACGAUUGCCCACUAACGAUCUUCUAAAUUGAAUAUUAAGGGGUAUCGAAAGAAAGACCGUUGCAAAUAGAGCAUCGCGCCUUUGGACAACACGAUACAACGACGGAUACUGGAUUGCAAGGGGUGUACCUCCGAGCCAAGUAUCCUCCCAGAAUCUUGUGCUGGCACCAUUACCAACUAUAUGCUUUGCCCUCUGAAAAAAUGAAAGCUUAACUUUUAUGAGCCCUUUCCAAAAGGGUGAAUCAGUUUGUCUAACCGUGACCUGAGACAAAGUUUUGGUUUGAAGAUACUUAUUACGAAAAAGUGGAGGGGACAAAAGAAAAUUAACAUUUUUCACUAACAGAUAGUGUUUUAAUUACAUUAUAUUGGAACAAUCGUACACAUACAGGAAAAGGUUAAGCAAAAAUAUAUGGCAUAUAGACAUGAAAAGGGAAAAAGGAUACCUGUAGGUCGAAACAUGUUGCUGUUGUGGAGGAAGACGACGAGAUGUCGGGAUUCCUCGAGUGGGAACAACGACGAAGUCUGGCUUGUACGAUUGAGGAAGACAAUGGCCCAAAUAUCCUCAUACAAAAGCUGAAUCCACGCUGGCUGUGCGAGUCGAGAUCCACGACCAAGGAUCCCCUACACGGAUGCUGACAGCGACGACAACGUGCAGAUCAACGAUCUCGCCUCCUCCAUUGGAGCUGCUACUCGGGCCCUGCUAUACAUCCAUGAUCCAUCGCCUCUUACAAACCGAGGACACAGAGGAGGCGUAUGAGCCAAACCAGCCGUCAAAGACUGUCACCAUGUUGCCGCACCAGCGAGUCGAGCUGCGGGGAUGCCUGCAGCUGAGGACUAGCAGGCUCAAGGCACAAAUCAACACAGCAAACUGAUGGGAGAUUAAGAAUUACCAGCGGU